ensembl:lncRNA
ACUAGCACAGGAAUCCGCCGGGAAAACUGAACUUGAUCCCUUUCACGCGCCCCUGUUCACUCGGACGCGCAGGAAAUUUACGUCAUCAAUACUCGGCGGCUGAAGGUGGGAAAGCCAAGGCUCGUGCGGUCGCUAGUGCGCAAGCUCGAAGCAAAGUUGGCCCCCGCGGAGCUGGCUAGCGAGUUUAAGCAGCAUCUCCAGGCAAACACUGGCUCAUUUGAAGCUUUGACCUUCAAGAUUUCAAAGGAAGGAGCUGAGAUAUGCUUUUUCCUUGAUUUAUGUCGUCUCGAGUUCUGGAGUCAAGCUGCUGCCCAGCGUUGGUGCCCUGAAGACCUCAACUGCAGUUCCAGCUGGUGUUGGGAAACCCUUCACGGAGGGGACCUGAACAACCUGAGAUGGACGUUUUCUGCCAAUGCAGUGCCACUGGAGUCCAGAGGUGUAAACCAGCCCUGACUCUUGCAGAGAGGAGAUUUUGGCGAAUACAGGGUGAGGAGUUUGCUGCCAUCCCAGGAUUAAUCUGGGUUGUGGCUCUACUGACUUUGUUUGAAAAGACAUGAAAGUACAUGAAAGGAAUAGUUACUUUUCUAGCCUGUGCCCAGGAUAUGCCCUCCUUGUAAUCCAAUUAUUAGUUACUCCAUUGGCAUUUGUCUAGGCCAAACAAACAAACAAACAACUAUCUAUUCCUGUUACGCAAUCACUGCCUGCCUGGAACGUGGCCCUGAACUCUGGGGAUUCAGCUUCCUCACGUUUGCUCUCAGAACUUGCUGCUGUUGACCUCCUGCCUCACACCUUGCUUGGUGAGGCACUCUGCGUUUGGAACUUUGACACCCGUACUCCAACUGCCUUUUUCUAUUCAUUUAUUCAACCAUCAUUUUUCCAAAACUCAACAAAAACUGAUCUGCUGAAUUAAAACUACUUCUGAACUCACUUUUUUUUUUCUAUGUGUAUGUAUUCUUGAUCUAAUGCUCUGAUGCCCACAAUGGUCUGGGUUUCCAGUUUGUACAUGUUGGCUGCCCCCUCCGCUGACCACCUUCUGAUCCUAUCACUAUACCACAUAGAUUUUUGAAGAUGGUAUACAUAUGGGAGAGACAUAAAAACAUUUGAAAAAUAAGGAACAUUUAAAAUAAGUGCUCAUUAUUCAAAUGUAGCUAGAUUAUAGAAGAUUCUUACAUUCUAUUUCAAAUAGAAGGUAUUUAGUGACUCUUCAGCAAUGUGAGAAGCUGAGUUGAAAUUCUUACAUUAUCAGGAAAUGGGCUAUCAUUUAAUUAUUAUGAAAUAUCCAUAUUUUAUGUCAGGUGUUCUUAUUUCAUUGUGUCUAAAUUUCAGUUUUUUUAAAUUACUUCAAAUUUUAUUAGGAUAAAUAAUCUGGAUUGUUUCACUGAUUUCCAAACCUGUUGGUACAAUGAAUCAGCAGUUCCACUUGGAAAGAUAACCAUUUUUAAGUUGAAUGAGAAUGACAUCACAUUCACACCUGCAAAACCUGAAAUGUCUAAUAAAGUAGACUCCUAUGUCUGAACUUCAGUUUUAGGGCACAGCUGUAGAUGCAGGACUGAUGCCAUCUGGUGCAGUUCCACAGAAUAAGAGAGAAAAUUCACCCAGAGUGUGCCAUGCACUGGCUUUUCUGGGAAUGACAAGUUGCCAGGAUUUGUUUUUGGUUCACUUGCAGGGGUGGAAACUUGGAACUAGGUGAGUUGUUUUACAUGCAAUAUCCCCGUUUAUAGCUUGACAUUUCAUAUUUCCAAUUUUGUUUAUCCUUUCAAAAUAAGUGCAAAAGAGCUCAAUUUUUUAAUGGACCCAUAUUUUAACAUUAUAUAUAAUUAACCAUUUAGGAUAGUGGUAAAUGUUUACUUUUUCAAACGCAUACCUACUCAUCUAGGGAUGUUUAGAAUACUAAUGGUACUAGUGCAUUACAUAGAAUGUAUUUACAGAGUACUAUGCUUUGGUUUUAAUUUUGAUAGCUACUCUGGGGCAGCUUUGCCUCGUUUAGCUAAAACCACAAUUAAAACUCUAGGAUUAUUAGGAAAUCACUGUCAGGAGUCGUGUCACUAACAAGGGGAUGUUAAAGAUUGAGUUGCAGAUCUUUGAAGUUGAUUUUUGUUGUUUGUUUAUUGUUUGUUUUUGUUUUGUUUUGGAUCAGUGAAAUAAAUUAUCAACUCUACAUUUCUUAUUUUGUCCACACAAAAUAAAGCCACAGAUUAAAUAAUAAUCUGAUUAAUUAUCCAAGUAGUUAGCAUCUUAUCACAAAAGAAUUUGGGUUAUCAGUAGGGCCAACCUGUGUUUAGAACAGUAGUCAGAAUAUAAUACACACUCAGAAAAAACUUCCUGGUGAAUUCUGCUAAAAAUCCUCUUGUUUUCCUUAAUAGCAGCAUUUUAUGUAAUAAACUAAUCAUUUCUUCCACUGUUGUGCUGUGUAGAUGUGGGUAGGUUGAAGUUAAAAUUUAAAAAAAAAUUUUUUUUAGUGUUUAUUUUUGAGAGAGACAAAGAUAGAGCACACAUGGGCAAGGGGCAAAAAGAAAGGGAGACGGAGAAUGGAAAGCAGGCUCUGUGCCAUCAGUGCAAAGCACAAUACAGGCUGGAACCCGCAAACCAUGAGAUCAUGACCUGAGCCAAAGUCAGAUGCUCAACCCACUGAGCCAUCCAGACACCCUAAAGUUAAAAUUUUUGUACUUAAAUUUUGUUUUUUUAUUAUGACUCUAUGAAGUUACAUGAACUUUGUUGAAUAUGUAUAUAUAUAGUUUUUUGAAUAUAUAUGUGUAUAUAUAUGUAUAUAUAUAGUUUGUUGAAUAUAUAUAUGUGUGUGUGUGUAUAUAUAUAUAGUUUCUUCUGGCAUUUUUUUUUAAUUAAAAAUAUUUGUUUAAUGUUUGUUUAUUUUUGAGAGAGAGAGCAUGAGCAGAGAAGGGGCAGAGAGAGGGAGGGAGACACAGAAUCUGAAGCAGGCUCAAGGUUCUGAGCUGUCAGGACACAGCCUAAAGUGGGGCUUGAACUCACAAACCCAGAGCAUGACCUGAGCCGAAGUCAGACACUUAAUGGACUGAGCCACCAAGGUACCUCUUGUUUUUUGUUUGUUUUAGUUUUUGUUUUGUUUUGUUUUGUUUACAUUAAGAUGGAAAUCUUUCUUUCCUAUUGGGAAUCAAGAUGGAUUGCUGUCUCAGUAAUGGAGUAGGAAGUUAUUGGACUCAAUGGUAGCUUAAACAAAGUAGAGGUUUUGUUUCCUUCUCAGGUGACAAGGAGAUUGGCGUUAAACUAUCUUGUGUUGGUUCAGCAGCUCACAAGAUGGUUGCUGCAGCUCCCCCAAGAAGAUGAAGGAAGCUGAAAGAGAAAACGGGGCACACCAUUUUGAGUCGGCUUCCUUUUGAAGAGCUUUCUCAGCAGCCCAGCAACUUUCACUUCCAUCUCAUUGGCCAGACUGUGUCAUAUCUGCAAGGUUGCAUGAUAAAUGUAGUUUUGUAGUUGGACAUAUUAACAGCUUUCAACAAAAAAAUCUAAGGAAAUCUAAGGGAAACAAUGAUGGUGGAUCUUUGGGAAACAAAGUAGCAGUCUGUGCUCUGGCUACAAAA